AGAGCUUGCCCAGCUCAAGAAAAUAGUUGGACCUAAUCGGAUUUCUCCAUCCAUGUUGUGAGACUUGAGGAACUAAGAAACAAAGCAAAGAGGAAUAUAUGAUCUACAAGUUAAUGGUUUAUAAGGAGCUCUGCCCCUCUACGUAUGACAUAAGGAAAUUUCAGGUAACUCACCCCAGAUUGUGUUGCUCAGGCCAACCCUUCACUGUACAUACAGUUGGACAGGGAGCAAUAAUGUGGAUCAACAAGAGCAGCAAUUUGAAGAGGACAGACCAAAAAAGAACAGGCUUGUUUUGCUGUUCCUUUCUGAGGAGCCCCAGAGUGCCUGCCAAGCCCAUAAUCCCUCUCUGCAGAGUCCUUUAGUCAUGAGACACUGUGAUUUGUACCACACUGCCCUCUCCACCCAAACCAUGUCUGAUUGGAAUAGCAACG
rnacentral:lncRNA from 1 species